rnacentral:rRNA from 1 species
GAUGAACGCUAGCUACAGGCUUAACACAUGCAAGUCGAGGGGAAACGACAUCGAAAGCUUGCUUUUGGUGGGCGUCGACCGGCGCACGGGUGAGUAACGCGUAUCCAACCUGCCCACCACUUGGGGAUAACCUUGCGAAAGUAAGACUAAUACCCAAUGAUAUCCCACGAAGGCAUCCGAAUGGGAUUAAAGAUUUAUCGGUGAUGGAUGGGGAUGCGUCUGAUUAGCUUGUUGGCGGGGUAACGGCCCACCAAGGCGACGAUCAGUAGGGGUUCUGAGAGGAAGGUCCCCCACAUUGGAACUGAGACACGGUCCAAACUCCUACGGGAGGCAGCAGUGAGGAAUAUUGGUCAAUGGGCGAGAGCCUGAACCAGCCAAGUAGCGUGCAGGAUGACGGCCCUAUGGGUUGUAAACUGCUUUUAUGCGGGGAUAAAGUGUGCCAUGUAUGGCAUUUUGUAGGUACCGCAUGAAUAAGGACCGGCUAAUUCCGUG